AUUGAACGCUGGCGGCAGGCCUAACACAUGCAAGUCGAGCGGAUGAAGGGAGCUUGCUCCUGGAUUCAGCGGCGGACGGGUGAGUAAUGCCUAGGAAUCUGCCUUGUAGUGGGGGAUAACGUCCUGAAACGGGCGCUAAUACCGCAUACGUCCUGAUGUAGAAAGUGGGGGAUCUUCGGACCUCACGCUAUCAUAUGAGCCUAGGUCGGAUUAGCUAGUUGGUGGGGUAAAGGCCUACCAAGGCGACGAUCCGUAACUGGUCUGAGAGGAUGAUCAGUCACACUGGAACUGAGACACGGUCCAGACUCCUACGGGAGGCAGCAGUGGGGAAUAUUGGACAAUGGGCGAAAGCCUGAUCCAGCCAUGCCGCGUGUGUGAAGAAGGUCUUCGGAUUGUAAAGCACUUUAAGUUGGGAGGAAGGGCAGUAAGUUAAUACCUUGCUGUUUUGACGUUACCAACAGAAUAAGCACCGGCUAACUUCGUG
rnacentral:rRNA from 1 species